CCACAACCUGAUACAUUAAUUCAACGCCAAAGAUAUGAUUCUUGUCCCUCUAUAUAAACGACUAUGCAAGGGCCAAAGCUUACGACAUCCUUAGCACACAACAAAGAAAGAACCGAUUCUUUGUUGAUCUCUUCGUCAUGGCACCCAACAGCAACGCUACCAGGAAGGCUGUGAUUUUCGUGGUUCUUAUGAUCGUGGCUUCCACCCUAUCGUCAUCGUCUUGCUACGCCCGCACAAUUGAAGAUGGAGUGAAUAUUCCAUGCUUCCAUCAGGAAAAGUGCAAAGAUCGUUGCCAGACCGUAUGCGGCUUGGGCGUUAAGCCCUCGGCUCACGCGUAUUGCAACAAGAAGGAUCAGUGUUGUUGUGCCUAGAAUAAUGCUUCUUUUCUAGCUAGUGGAAUAAGUUUAUCACAUAUGACUGCAUAUGUGGUAUUGGUUACCGACAAAUUAUAUAACCGAGCCUUUUAUGUUGUGCGGUCCACAUUUGUUACUUUGGUCACAGAUUUCUUCCUUGGACGCCACUUCACAUAAACUUGUGUUUUACUUACCUGGUUAAUAUUUCCUUUAAAAUACA